UACAGAGGGUGCAAGCGUUAAUCGGAAUUACUGGGCGUAAAGCGUGCGUAGACGGUAGCGUAAGUCGGGUGUGAAAGCCCCGGGCUCAACCUGGGAAUUGCAUUCGAGACUGCUCUGCUAGGGUGCGGAAGAGGGAAGCGGAAUUUCCGGUGUAGCGGUGAAAUGCGUAGAUAUCGGAAGGAACACCAGUGGCGAAAGCGGCUUCCUGGUCCAGCACCGACGUUCAGGCACAAAAGCGUGGGGAGCAAACAGG
rnacentral:rRNA from 1 species